rfam:Candidatus Woesebacteria bacterium RBG_16_42_24 RBG_16_scaffold_1, whole genome shotgun sequence.
AUAAGUUUUCACUAAUGCAGACAGUGGAUGCCUUGGUACAACCUACCUAAGAAGGACGUACAUGGUGACGAAACUCAGCGGGGAGCUGCCACGAAGCUUUGAUCCGUUGGUGUCCGAAUAGGGAAACCUACUCAUUUUGAGUACCUAAAUUUGAAAUGUCCCGACUUGUCGGGGCUACUAAAGUUUAGGAGGGAACCGCCCGAACUGAAACAUCUAAGUAGGGCGAGGAAGAGAAAACAAUCGUGAUUGCGUCAGUAGCGGCGAGCGAAAGCGCAUCAGCCUAAACUCCACUUUGCCUCGCAAGAGGCUUCGUGGAGGGUUGCGGGAGCCCAAUAUGGGAGUUGUCGCGGUAGCAGAACGGCAUGGAAUUGCCGACUAGAAAGAGUGAAAGUCUCGUAUGCAAAACCAAGAUGACCUCUAGGGAAUUCCCAAGUACCACGGAGCACAUACUCUGUGGGAAUCUAGGGGAACCAUCCUCUAAGGCUAAAUAUAGGUUGUGACCGAUAGUGAACUAGUACCGUGAGGGAAAGGUUAAAAGAAGGGUGAGACACCCAGUGAAAUAGAAACUGAAACUGUUUGCUAACAAGCCGAGAGAGCUUGUGCGUAGCACAAGGAAUUUCUAACUACUAAUUGACCUAAUUUCUAAUUAAAUCCCAAUUUAUUAAUUUGAGAAUUUAAGAAUUAUUUAGAAAUUAGAAAUUAAAAAUUUAGGAAUUUCUCGCGCUGCGCGCGAGUGAUCUCGUGCCUAUUGAAGAAUGAACCGGCGAGUUGUCUUAUUACACAAGUCUAACCCCGUAAACCGGGGGGAGGCGCAGCGAAAGCGAGUCUUAAAAGGCGAAAUAAGUGUGAUAUGACAGACCCGAAACCGAGUGAUCUAACCAUGGCCAGGGUGAACUUAAUCGAAAGAUUGAGGGAGGCCCGAACCCGUAGUCGUUGCAAUGACUUGGGAUGAGCUGUGGAUAGUGGCAAAAUACUAAUCGAACUCGGAGAUAGCUGGUUCUCCCCGAAAGGUCUAUAGGGACCGUCUCGCCUUUUCGGCUUAUGUUGUAGAGCACUGGAUGGAUUACCAACCGCAAGGGAGGCAGUCUAACCAAACUCCGAAGACAUAAGUCUAAUUAGGGCGGGAGACAGUCAUAUCGGGCUAAGCUGAUAUGGCGAGAGGGAAACAUCCCAGACUUUCGUCUAAGGCCUCUAAAUCUACCUUAAGUUUAAAAGGAAGUUAACUUUCAGAAACAGCCAGGAGGUUGGCUCAGAAGCAGCCACCCUUUAAAGAAAGCGUAACAGCUCACUGGUCGAUGAAGGUUAGCGCCCAAGAUGUAUCGAGGAUAAAGGUAGUGCCGAAGACAAAGAUUACGCCGCAAGGCGAUAGUGGUAGGGGAGCGUCCUAUGUGCAGUGAAGUUGACCCGUAAGGGUUGGUGGAGCGCAUGGGAGUGAGAAUGCCGGUAUGAGUAGCGCACAAUCCCAGUGAGAAUCUGGGACACCGAAUACCCGAGGUUUCCGUCGCAAGGUUCGUCCACGACGGGUUAGUCGGCACCUAAGGCGAGGCCAAUUGGCGUAGUCGAUGGGUGAGCAGUCAAAAUUCUGCUAUUUAGUUUAAAUCGUUACACCGCAAGGUGCAUGCGCAAGCAUGAUAGCUGGGGGCUGACGAAAAUGGAUGAGUAAGGCCAGGAGGUGAAGCCUGGUGUAAGCUGUUAAAUAGGGUUAGCUGGGAAAUCCGCUUUCCUGAUUAAUUGAGCAGUGAUGCAGAGUCCUAUGAAAGUGGGGCAAUUUUACUUUAUUCAAUUUCAGAUAAAAGGCUCGCAGUGAGAUUUAGAUUAAGCCGUACCGCAAACCGACACAGGUGGGUUGGUCGAGAAGACUAAGGUGAGCGAGAGAAGGAUGUUCCAGGAAUUCGGCAAAAAAGUUACCCGUAACUUUGGAAGAUGGGUUGCCCCGAUUAUAUCGGGGUUGCAACAAAAGUUUACUAGUCGGCUGUUUAUCAAAAACACAGGUCCCUGCGAAGCCGAAAGGCACGGUAUAGGGGCUGACGCCUGCCCAGUGCUGGUAAGUUAAGGGGAGGGGUCUUUAGGCCGCAAGGCUUUUAGGCUCUGAACUUAAGCUCCAGUAAACGGCAGCAGUAACUAUAACUGUUCUACGGUAGCGAAGUUCCUUGUCGGGUAAGUUCCGACCCGCACGAAUGGCGUCACGAGCUAGUAACUGUCUUGAACAUUCACUCGGCGAAAUUGCGUUGGCUGUGAAGACGCGGCCUAAUUCCACCAGGACAAAAAGACCCCGUGGAGCUUUACUGCAGUUUGGUAUUGCUUUCAUAUUUUUUGAUUGCCAAGAAUAGGAGGGAGAUUCGUCAACCGUGUGAUACCUCUCGUUAAAAAAUGUGAGGCUAACCUAGGUCGCCUGAAGACGGCGACAGGGAGAGUGCUAGACGGGCAGUUUUACUGGGGCGGUACCCUGCUAAAAAGUAACGCAGGGACACAAAGGUUGGCUUACCACGGAUGGAAAUCGUGGGGAAAGCGUAAAGGUUUAAGCCAGCUUGACUGCGACAUCGAAGGAUGGAGCAGGUACGAAAGUAGGUCUUAGUGAUCCUCCGAUGCACUUUGGGUGUGCACGGAGCUUAAUUGAUAAAAGCUACCCCGGGGAUAACAGAGUAGUCGCGCCCGAGAGUCCAUAUCGACGGCGCGGUUCGCUACCUCGAUGUCGGCUCAUCACAUCCUGGCGCUGGAGAAGGUGCCAAGGGUUGGUCUGUUCGCCCAUUAAAGUGGUACGUGAGCUGGGUUCAGAACGUCGUGAGACAGUUGACUUUGGUGACAUAUCAAAGUGACAAGUCCAAGCGGUCUCGCCCUUUAGACGUAUUGAAUAUACAUUGAGUGUGGAAUUAAAACUUUUUGUCCAUAAACACCUCGGAGUGAUAGCCCGGGGUCCCCGCGCGAAGCGUGGGGAGUAAAAUGAAGGGAUAUAAAUCUGGCUAUAUGCUGGAAAGUCUCGUUAAUGUUUGACUACUAGUACAUAUGUAAUAUACUAGUAAAAAUGUCAAACCUGAGAUCAUCAGCAGGAAAGGCUAGUUUUCAAUCUCAUAUAUCAGAUGACUAUUUGGUCGGUUUUGUGGAAGGUGAAGGUAUGUUUUAUAUAGGUAUUGUUCGUUCACCUGAAACUAAGACCGGUUGGCAAGUAAUCUAUUUUUUUAAGGUCUCUCAAAAUCCUUCGGGAAGAGGGGUUUUGGAGUACUUUCAAAAAAGAUUUUCUUGUGGUUAUGUAAAACAAAAUAGUCGGAUAGAUAGAACUGACAAAUCUUUGGCAUAUGUUGUUCGAGAUUUGCCUAGUUUAAGAGAUAAAAUUAUUCCUUUCUUUGAGGGUAAAUUGCAUAUUAAGCAACAAACUUUUGAAAAAUUCAAAAGAGUAAUUGAGUUAGUUGCUGAUAAAGCGCAUUUAACCAAAGAAGGUAUAACGGAGGUUUUGGAGAUUGCUUAUUCUAUGAAUACUCAAAAAAGAAGGGUAUUAAAAGAAAAAAUACUCCAAGACUAUCAAAACUAGAAUCCUCACAGGCCAUACGCCAGAUCCGCCAACAGCUACGCAGUUGCGGGCGGAAAGAUAUGGUCGGACCCCACGGGUGAUCGUGGGAGCUAGCAAGAAUGUAAAUUGGCUAGCCAUUAGUAACAAUUAUGUCGGACUCUAUCCGGUGGAAUCGUUCGAGUCUUGAAGGGAGCUGGCCUCAGUACGAGAGGACCAGGCUGGAGGAACCUCUGGUGUGCCGGUUGUUACGUCAGUAGCAUCGCCGGGUAGCUAUGUUCCUAAGGGAUAACCGCUGAAAGCAUCUAAGUGGGAAGCCCCCCCUAAGAUUAGGACUCGUUAUAGACCCCCCGAAGAAGACGGGGUUAAUCGGCAGGAUGUGGAAGACCCGUAAGGGUUUAAGCUUACCUGUGCGAAUCGGUCGAAGAAAACUAUUCU